rnacentral:rRNA from 1 species
GACGAACGCUGGCGGCGUGCUUAACACAUGCAAGUCGAACGAUGAACCCGGAGCUUGCUCCGGUGGAUUAGUGGCGAACGGGUGAGUAACACGUGAGUAACCUGCCCUUGACUCUGGGAUAACUGCGGGAAACUGUAGCUAAUACCGGAUACGACCCUCGGCGGCAUCGCCAGGGGGUGGAAAGAAUUUCGGUCAAGGAUGGACUCGCGGCCUAUCAGCUAGUUGGUGAGGUAACGGCUCACCAAGGCGACGACGGGUAGCCGGCCUGAGAGGGUGACCGGCCACACUGGGACUGAGACACGGCCCAGACUCCUACGGGAGGCAGCAGUGGGGAAUAUUGCACAAUGGGCGCAAGCCUGAUGCAGCAACGCCGCGUGAGGGAUGACGGCCUUCGGGUUGUAAACCUCUUUUAUGUGGGAAGAUUAUGACGGUACCACAUGAAUAAGCACCGGCUAACUACGUGCCAGCAGCCGCCGUAA